AAGCUGACACUCGGACAGUCUAUGCUGUGAAAGUAGCACUUCUAAAGGUAGAGGAGCCAUGUCAGGUAACCUUUUGACCCAGAAAAUAUGCACCACUAGCUGUGCAAAAUACACAUUUUGGUGAGGAUGUCGGAGGUGACCAUGUGAGAACAAGAAAAAUGACGACAGGUCCAACAAACAGGAUUUUUGGACCAAGACAGUCAAUGGUAAGUGUCUGUGCAAUGAAUGAGUAUUUUAAAUUAGACGACCAGUGCUCAGUGAUCAGUGCAUGUUGUUCUCUUGUCUUUCUAACCAGGUGCCUCGUCUUUGAACCAUGAAGGUCAAUAUGACACUGAUGGCCGCUUGAGGACGACACUCCCCGUAAGUGAAAACGUACAAAGUUAACUACAGCCGCCCUUCCUGGGUAACGCCACCACCAAUCCCUGGUCAUCCAUUGAAGCCAUCUCUCUCACUCUGCAUAGUCACACUGUUGCCGCUUCAUUCUC
ensembl:lncRNA